GAAAUGCGAUAAGUAAUGUGAAUUGCAGAAUUCAGUGAAGCAUCGAAUCUUUGAACGCACAUUGCGCCCCUUGGUAUUCCGAGGGGCAUGCCUGUUCGAGCGUCAUUACACCACUCAAGCUAUGCUUGGUAUUGGGUGCCGUCCUUAGUUGGGCGCGCCUUAAAGACCUCGGCGAGGCCUCACCGGCUUUAGGCGUAGUAGAAUUUAUUCGAACGUCUGUCAAAGGAGAGGACUUCUGCCGACUGAAACCUUUUAUUUUUCUAGGUUGACCUCGGAUCAGGUAGGGAUACCCGCUGAACUUAAGC
rnacentral:misc_RNA from 1 species